rnacentral:rRNA from 1 species
AUUGAACGCUGGCGGCAUGCUUUACACAUGCAAGUCGAACGGUAACAGGCCUUCGGGUGCUGACGAGUGGCGAACGGGUGAGUAAUGCAUCGGAACGUACCCAGAGGUGGGGGAUAACGCAGCGAAAGCUGUGCUAAUACCGCAUGUGAUCUGAGGAUGAAAGCGGGGGACCGAGCAGCAAUGUUUGGCCUCGCGCCUUUGGAGCGGCCGAUGUCGGAUUAGCUAGUUGGUGGGGUAAAGGCCUACCAAGGCGACGAUCCAUAGCUGGUCUGAGAGGACGACCAGCCACACUGGGACUGAGACACGGCCCAGACUCCUACGGGAGGCAGCAGUGGGGAAUUUUGGACAAUGGGCGCAAGCCUGAUCCAGCAAUGCCGCGUGCGGGAAGAAGGCCUUCGGGUUGUAAACCGCUUUUGGCAGGAACGAAACGGUGUCCGCUAAUACCGGGCGCUAAUGACGGUACCUGCAGAAUAAGCACCGGCUAACUACGUG